AGGAGAAUAGUUAAACAUAACAUUUAAAUUGCAAUUAAAAAGUACAAAUUUGUUUCUCUUA
rnacentral:tRNA from 1 species